rnacentral:rRNA from 1 species
UUGACGGGGCCCGCACAAGCGGUGGAGCAUGUGGUUUAAUUCGAUGCAACGCGAAGAACCUUACCUGGUCUUGACAUAGUAAGAACUUUCCAGAGAUGGAUUGGUGCCUUCGGGAACUUACAUACAGGUGCUGCAUGGCUGUCGUCAGCUCGUGUCGUGAGAUGUUGGGUUAAGUCCCGCAACGAGCGCAACCCUUUUCCUAUUGCCAGCGGGUUAAGCCGGGAACUUUAAGGAUACUGCCAGUGACAAACUGGAGGAAGGCGGGGACGACGUCAAGUCAUCAUGGCCCUUACGACCAGGGCUACACACGUGCUACAAUGGUCGGUACAACGAGUUGCGAGUCGGUGACGGCGAGCUAAUCUCUUAAAGCCAAUCUCAGUUCGGAUUGUAGGCUGCAACUCGCCUACAUGAAGUCGGAAUCGCUAGUAAUCGCGGAUCAGCACGCCGCGGUGAAUACGUUCCCGGGCCUU